rnacentral:rRNA from 1 species
AGAUUAAGUUAUUAAGGGCGCACGGUGGAUGCCUUGGCACUAGAAGCCGAUGAAGGACGUUACUAACGACGAUAUGCUUUGGGGAGCUGUAAGUAAGCUUUGAUCCAGAGAUUUCCGAAUGGGGAAACCCAGCAUGAGUUAUGUCAUGUUAUCGAUAUGUGAAUACAUAGCAUAUCAGAAGGCACACCCGGAGAACUGAAACAUCUUAGUACCCGGAGGAAGAGAAAGAAAAUUCGAUUCCCUUAGUAGCGGCGAGCGAAACGGGAAGAGCCCAAACCAAAAAGCUUGCUUGUUGGGGUUGUAGGACACUCUAUACGGAGUUACAAAGGACGACAUUAGACGAAUCAUCUGGAAAGAUGAAUCAAAGAAGGUAAUAAUCCUGUAGUCGAAAAUGUUGUCUCUCUUGAGUGGAUCCUGAGUACGACGGAGCACGUGAAAUUCCGUCGGAAUCUGGGAGGACCAUCUCCUAAGGCUAAAUACUCUCUAGUGACCGAUAGUGAACCAGUACCGUGAGGGAAAGGUGAAAAGCACCCCGGAAGGGGAGUGAAAUAGAACCUGAAACCGUGUGCUUACAAGUAGUCAGAGCCCGUUAAUGGGUGAUGGCGUGCCUUUUGUAGAAUGAACCGGCGAGUUACGAUUUGAUGCAAGGUUAAGCAGUAAAUGUGGAGCCGUAGCGAAAGCGAGUCUGAAUAGGGCGUUUAGUAUUUGGUCGUAGACCCGAAACCAGGUGAUCUACCCUUGGUCAGGUUGAAGUUCAGGUAACACUGAAUGGAGGACCGAACCGACUUACGUUGAAAAGUGAGCGGAUGAACUGAGGGUAGCGGAGAAAUUCCAAUCGAACCUGGAGAUAGCUGGUUCUCUCCGAAAUAGCUUUAGGG